rnacentral:rRNA from 1 species
UAAAUAGCCAGGCUAGCUUUGGCUGGUCGCCGGCUUCUUAGAGGGACUAUCGGCUCAAGCCGAUGGAAGUUUGAGGCAAUAACAGGUUAACCUACACAGGCCUGUAACAGUGGGCCUCGUAAAAGAUAACUGCUAGUUCAGCGUUUUUACCUUCUUGGGGAAGUCCCCUACUGUCGGGAGAAGGCAAGUGAAUUUAUUUGCUUGUAACGCGGGCAACACCACCUGGUACAGGGAACGCCGGAUCUGCUGUUGCGUUGGCAGAUUGGCCGAUCCUGUGGCGAGCCAAAGUAACGUUUG